GACGAACGCUGGCGGCGUGCUUAACACAUGCAAGUCGAACGAAGUGGCGAACGGGUGAAUAAUACGUGUGUAACCUGCCCUCCUUUUUGGGAUAAGCCUUGGACACGGGGUCUAAUACCGAAUAAAGGGGGAUGGGCUCGCGGCCUCUCAGCUUGUUGGUGGGGUGAUGGCCUACCAAGGCGGUGACGGGUAGCCGGCCUGAGAGGGUGACCGGCCACAUUGCGACGGAGAUACGGCCCAGACUCCUACGGGAGGCAGCAGUGGGGAAUUUUGGACAAUGGGGGAAACCCUGAUCCAGCCAUCCCGCGUGUAUGAUGAAGGCCUUCGGGUUGUAAAGUACUUUUGGCAGAAAAACGGUAUCUGCAGAAUAAGCACCGGCUAACUACGUGCCAGCAGCCGCGGUAAUAC
rnacentral:rRNA from 1 species